UCUGGACAGUCUUUGUAUGAUUUGCUUUUUUUGUUUUUUUUGCCAUUGAGAAAAAGCACCAUCUUGAAAAUAUUUAUAAGAGACCUCCAAAAUUUGAUAGUAUACCAAGCUGCUGUAAACACGAGCCAAACCAACGCCCUCUUUGCCAAAACAAUACAGUAAAAGCAAAUCAUACAAAGACUGUCCAGAAAUGCAAAAACUUAAAAUAACCCGCGCAACAUCAAGAGAGGUCAAAAUUUGAAUAGAUGCACACCUUGGCUAACAGAAAAAGCACCUUCUUGAAAGUGCUUACAUCUAUCCAGGGGCUCCAAUAUCACAGUCAAGUCAAAAUGUGGCCCUGGUUCAUCUUCCUCCAAUGCAAUCCUCCCAUCAAAAUGCACAUUCUUUUUCCUCAGGUGGAUACCAUACAAAAGAUGCGUGAUUUUGCUAACAGUUGGGCAGCUUCUCUUUGAACAGUCGUGGAAG
rnacentral:misc_RNA from 1 species